GAUGAAGAACGUAGUAAAAUGCGAUAAGUAAUGUGAAUUGCAGAAUUCAGUGAAUCAUCGAAUCUUUGAACGCACAUUGCGCCCGCCAGUAUUCUGGCGGACAUGCCUGUUCGAGCGUCAUUUCAACCCUCAAGCACAGCUUGGUGUUGGGACUCGCGUUAAUUCGCGUUCCCCAAAUUGAUUGGCGGUCACGUCGAGCUUCCAUAGCGUAGUAGUAAAACCCUCGUUACUGGUAAUCGUCGCGGCCACGCCGUUAAACCCCAACUUCUGAAUGUUGACCUCGGAUCAGGUAGGAAUACCCGCUGAACUUAAGCAUAUCAAUAAGCGGAGGA
rnacentral:misc_RNA from 1 species